rnacentral:rRNA from 1 species
GAUGAACGCUGGCAGCGUGCCUAAUACAUGCAAGUCGAGCGAACAGACGAGGAGCUUGCUCCUCUGACGUUAGCGGCGGACGGGUGAGUAACACGUGGAUAACCUACCUAUAAGACUGGGAUAACUUCGGGAAACCGGAGCUAAUACCGGAUAAUAUAUUGAACCGCAUGGUUCAAUAGUGAAAGACGGUUUUGCUGUCACUUAUAGAUGGAUCCGCGCCGCAUUAGCUAGUUGGUAAGGUAACGGCUUACCAAGGCAACGAUGCGUAGCCGACCUGAGAGGGUGAUCGGCCACACUGGAACUGAGACACGGUCCAGACUCCUACGGGAGGCAGCAGUAGGGAAUCUUCCGCAAUGGGCGAAAGCCUGACGGAGCAACGCCGCGUGAGUGAUGAAGGUCUUCGGAUCGUAAAACUCUGUUAUUAGGGAAGAACAAAUGUGUAAGUAACUAUGCACGUCUUGACGGUACCUAAUCAGAAAGCCACGGCUAACUACGUG